AAACACUUUCUGCAUGAUGCUGUUUACUUUCAAUAAUUUGAAAGCUAUCUCUAACCCUUGUGAGUCAGAAGAACAGACUGAAUCAGAAAUGCAAUAACUUUGAUCACAUAACAGCACAAUGAUCAUAUGUUAAGGCAUCACCCAGAUCACCCAGUCUUCUUAGAGAUUCUUUCUGACAUUGCUCCAAGAUCAUGUCCCAAAUUCAGAAAGAACACUUGGAAAUGAUUUGUGUCUGUCACGUAAGAGAUACCUAUUUGGUCUCCAGCCUGUUUGGUACCUGGAUUUCUGAAGUGAAGGAGAUGGCAACCCACUCCAGUGUUCUUGCCUGGAGAAUCCCAGGGACGGGGGAGCCUGGUGGGCUUCCGUCUAUGGGGUCGCACAGAGUCAGAAACGACUGAAGCGACUUAGCAGCAGCAGCAGCAGCAGCAGGGGGAGCUGCAGGCCUGAGCCAAGCAGGAGUCACAAACAGCAGGACCUGGAGCAUAUGCAAAAAUCUAAAAAAUGUAAGCAUUUCCUUUUAUAACCUGUAGUUUUGACAAUGAUGUUGAUUUUUAAUCAGGUUUUUUUUUUCAGUUUAUGGUUUUAUACUGCCACCUAAAUUGGGAAAAUAAUUUAUAUUGUUU
ensembl:lncRNA